AAAUUGAAGAGUUUGAUCAUGGCUCAGAUUGAACGCUGGCGGCAGGCCUAACACAUGCAAGUCGAACGGUAACAGGAAGCAGCUUGCUGCUUCGCUGACGAGUGGCGGACGGGUGAGUAAUGUCUGGGAAACUGCCUGAUGGAGGAUGUCUGGGAAACUGCCUGAUGGAGG
rnacentral:rRNA from 1 species